GACGAACGCUGGCGGCGUGCCUAAUACAUGCAAGUAGAACGCUGAAGAGAGGAGCUUGCUCUUCUUGGAUGAGUUGCGAACGGGUGAGUAACGCGUAGGUAACCUGCCUGGUAGCGGGGGAUAACUAUUGGAAACGAUAGCUAAUACCGCAUAAAAUGGAUUAUCGCAUGAUAAUCCAUUGAAAGGUGCAAAUGCAUCACUACCAGAUGGACCUGCGUUGUAUUAGCUAGUUGGUGGGGUAACGGCUCACCAAGGCGACGAUACAUAGCCGACCUGAGAUGGUGAUCGGCCACACUGAGACUGAGACACGGCCCAGACUCCUACGGGAGGCAGCAGUAGGGAAUCGUCGGCAAUGGACGGAAGUCUGACCGAGCAACGCCGCGUGAGUGAAGAAGGUUUUCGGAUCGUAAAGCUCUGUUGUAAGAGAAGAACGAGUGUGAGAGUGGAAAGUUCACACUGUGACGGUAUCUUACCAGAAAGGGACGGCUAACUACGUG
rnacentral:rRNA from 1 species